GACGAACGCUGGCGGCGUGCCUAAUACAUGCAAGUCGAGCGGACCACUUCGGUGGUCAGCGGCGGACGGGUGAGUAACACGUGGGCAACCUGCCUGUAAGACUGGGAUAACACCGGGAAACCGGUGCUAAUACCGGAUAAUCCUUUCCUUCACAUGAGGGAAAGCUGAAAGACGGUUUCGGCUGUCACUUACAGAUGGGCCCGCGGCGCAUUAGCUAGUUGGUGAGGUAACGGCUCACCAAGGCGACGAUGCGUAGCCGACCUGAGAGGGUGAUCGGCCACACUGGGACUGAGACACGGCCCAGACUCCUACGGGAGGCAGCAGUAGGGAAUCUUCCGCAAUGGACGAAAGUCUGACGGAGCAACGCCGCGUGAGCGAUGAAGGCCUUCGGGUCGUAAAGCUCUGUUGUCAGGGAAGAACAAGUACCGGAGUAACUGCCGGUACCUUGACGGUACCUGACCAGAAAGCCACGGCUAACUACGUGCCAGCAGCCGCCGUAACAC
rnacentral:rRNA from 1 species